GGGCGAGGCGGAGGCAGGGUGCGGCGGCGGCGGAGGCGUGGCGCGUCGGCGGAAGUAGGUGGCGGAAAUUUGCAGCAGAGGAAGGGUAUGAGAAUGGCAGGGAUUGCAGUUGUCUGAAAACCCUAACUGCUUCUCUUCUCUGAAAUGCCCCUGAAUCUGAAAUAAGAAAAAGAACGGGGAUGGCAAAAUUAGGGUUUUUUAAGAACUCUAAGGAGAGUGGAGAGUGAGGGCAGAGUUAGGGAAGGAAAGAAAGGCUUCAACCUGGUUGAUGCUCUCCAAAAAUCAGUAAUCUC
rnacentral:lncRNA from 1 species